UCAACACUUAUAUAAUUAGUAGUAUUAUGUUUUUUUUUAUAUAUUAGGGGUAGUUUAGUAAUCUCAUACUCAGUUAACACCAAAAACUAAGGCCCAUCCAUGAUAUGGACUAUCCGACUAACAAGUUAUCAAACCACAGGGAGCAACAAUGUAAUUUUUUUAAAGUUGAGGACUAAAGGUGAAAUUUUGACAAAUCACAUGGACAAUCCGGGCAUUUAUAUAUACUCUAAUUUGUAACACCUCUAGGCAUUAGGUGUUUGUAACUCUUGCAUUAGUUGUGGUAUAUGCUUUGUUAACUUGUAACUACUGUUAUUUGGGUUGUAAACAUAUAGGCUCCUGGAGAAUCAUUUCAACCCACACCGCCCCCAUCUCCUCCCUCUCCUCUCACCACCCAUUGAAACCUCCAUCGCCUCCAUGACGCUUUAUCACUCACUGGUUCAAAACCAUAACCAGAAACGGUAAAUCGCCGGACCGAAUGGAACCAUGUCCUCUCGCCGUCGAUUGCAUCGGAAUACGACGUCGCCGACGAAUCCUGGAAACUAUCCAAGUGUCAGAAACCCUCGCCGGAAAAAUUGAUGGUCCGACUCGACAUUUCCUCACCGGAUUACCGCACUCUGUUUGUCUUUUUCUCAGAAGUUCUCGGCCUAUUCUUUGUUCUACUGAAGGUGAGGUCAUCUUUGGUCGAAUGAUUGAAUGAUUAGGGUUUCGAUGUUGUGGGUUUGUCUUUGCAUCUAGCGUUUAAGUCGACUUGGGCUUUUCACGGCUGUUUUUCGGUGGUUGUUUUGCGAUUUGCUUUUGUGUGCUUUGAAUGUGUUGUGUGUUUGUUUAUGACCAAAAAUCGGUUGGUUCUUUGUUAACCUACUUCUGCUUGAAAGGGAGAGGAAGUCGGCCACCCCAACCCGACGAAGGGGUGAUAGCGGCGGCUUAUGGCCGAGGUCUUUAUUUCGACAACCAGAUUGCCAGCGAUGGCGGCUAGGGUUCCAGUUUAGGGGUUUUGAAACCAGAUCAACGCUGCUUAUUAUGGUUCACCACGAAUUCAACUCACCAAUUAGAUAUGAAUUUUACCCUCUUUUGUUAGUCAUUGUGGUCUAUUCUGUUGUCUGGCAUAUCUUUUGUUAUUGAAAGCAAGUCUAGGUUUGCUGAAAAAUAGGGUUACAUAGUUUAAUUUGGUGAUUUAUAGAAGCAUUUGUAGUGAAAUUUGAGUAAAAUUAGGAACAAAUCUAUGUUUCAAACUCUCAAUAAAAGGGUACUACUCAUAUCUGUCCAUAAUUUAAACUUAAAGAGUAGACGAACAAAUCUUGUGGGUUAAUGAAAUGCGAUAUGAGUUGCAGGAGAUUUAUGGAAUUGGUAAUUCAGUUGGAAAUCAUCCUGGUAAAGAAUGUCUUAUAUGUUUAUCAGAACCUCGGGGUAUCCUUUGUAUAAAACAAAAAAAGGGAAAAAAUACACUACGAAUACGGGGUUGAGCCGUAGCCCGUGCUACCCUUCUUAAUACAUUAGCUCCGCCCCUAGAUCUGUUUGGUUAUGAUGAGUUAGGCAUGAGUAAUGGCAAGUUGUUUUUACUGUUUUUCCAUUUUUUGUAGGACUAAAUGCGAGAGAUGCGUAAACGUCUUUGUUUGUUGAUACAGGAUCAAAAGAUUGGUCUUCUGGUGCAGCCGCUGUGGUAAGGAAGGCGGGUGGAGCAAUCACGCUGGAGGAGAUAAAGGUGGACCCCCAAAAGUGUCACAAGUUAGGAUCAAGAUGUGUCUAUUAAACAUUUUCAGACAGGAGAAGAAGUUUCUUUUGGAAAGAAAUGGGCCUCAUGUUGCAAAAGUAUCUGUUUUUGAGACUGUCAAAGAACCAUCUAAUUGGGUAUUGUGAGGUAGAUCUGUUUGAUUUUCUUAGCCGGGAUUCAGAUUCUGGCAUUGAAGUUAAGUUAUAGGAUCCAAUGGUGAAGUUGGCAACAUAUAUCUUUCAUGUUCUAUCGAGGACCCUACUGAAACAGGGAAAAGCUUUGCAAGGCGCAUUUUGUUGAUUGUUGCAUAUAAGCUAUUGGCAAAGUGAAAAAGUAUGUAGAAGGUCAAUGACAUUUGAUUUGUAGCUCAAAGUAGAUGGAAGAACAUGUUCAAAUCAAGAAGUUAUUAUCAGCGGAUGAUGACCUGAACAAGCUUUAUAAAAGUACGUUGAAGGUCAAUGGCGUUUGUAUUGUCAUACAUAUUUCAUGGUUAAUGUAACGCCCCGCGUUUUCAUGACUUUCCUAAUUUAGAAAUCGAGUUUUAAAAAUCUAUUUUAGAAGCUUGCCUCUUGCAAAAUUA